rnacentral:rRNA from 1 species
UACGUAGGGUGCGAGCGUUGUCCGGAAUUACUGGGCGUAAAGAGCUCGUAGGUGGUUUGUCGCGUUGUUCGUGAAAACUCACAACUCAAUUGUGGGCGUGCGGGCGAUACGGGCAGACUGGAGUACUGCAGGGGAGACUGGAAUUCCUGGUGUAGCGGUGGAAUGCGCAGAUAUCAGGAGGAACACCGGUGGCGAAGGCGGGUCUCUGGACAGUUCCUGACGCUGAGGCACGAAGGCCAGGGGAGCAAACGGG